rnacentral:misc_RNA from 1 species
CCGAGUGCGGGCCCUCUGGGUCCAACCUCCCACCCGUGUUUACUGUACCUUGUUGCUUCGGCGGGCCCGCCGCCAGGCCGCCGGGGGCUUCGCGCCCCGGGCCCGCGCCCGCCGAAGACACCCCUGAACGCUGUCUGAAGAUUGCAGUCUGAGCAUAAACUAAAUAAGUUA